rnacentral:rRNA from 1 species
GAUGAACGCUGGCGGCGUGCCUAAUACAUGCAAGUCGAGCGAACAGACGAGGAGCUUGCUCCUCUGACGUUAGCGGCGGACGGGUGAGUAACACGUGGAUAACCUACCUAUAAGACUGGGAUAACUUCGGGAAACCGGAGCUAAUACCGGAUAAUAUAUUGAACCGCAUGGUUCAAUAGUGAAAGACGGUUUUGCUGUCACUUAUAGAUGGAUCCGCGCCGCAUUAGCUAGUUGGUAAGGUAACGGCUUACCAAGGCAACGAUGCGUAGCCGACCUGAGAGGAUGAUCGGCCACCCUGGAACUGAGACACGGUCCAGACUCCUACGGGAGGCAGCAGUAGGGAAUCUUCCGCAAUGGGCGAAAGCCUGACGGAGCAACGCCGCGUGAGUGAUGAAGGUCUUCGGAUCGUAAAACUCUGUUAUUAGGGAAGAACAAAUGUGUAAGUAACUAUGCACGUCUUGACGGUACCUAAUCAGAAAGCCACGGCUAACUACGUG